rnacentral:rRNA from 1 species
GGUUGAUCCUGCCAGUAGUCAUAUGCUUGUCUCAAAGAUUAAGCCAUGCAUGUCUAAGUAUAAACAUCUUUAUACAGUGAAACUGCGUACAGCUCAUUAUAUCAGUAAUUAUUUAUUUGAUGGUACCUUACUACAUGGAUACCCGUAGUAAUUCUAGAGCUAAUACAUGCGUAAAGUCUCAACUCUUGCGGGAAGAGAUGUAUUUAUUAGAUAAAAAAUCAAUGCAAACAGCAAUGUUUGGUUAUUUGGUGAUUCAUAGUAACUGUUCGAAUCGUAUGGCUUUAUGCUGACG